UACAGAGGGUGCGAGCGUUAAUCGGAAUUACUGGGCGUAAAGCGUGCGUAGACGGUUAUUUAAGUCGGGUGUGAAAGCCCCGGGCUCAACCUGGGAAUUGCAUUCGAGACUGAAUAGCUAGGGUACGGUAGAGGGAAGUGGAAUUUCCGGUGUAGCGGUGAAAUGCGUAGAUAUUCGGAAGAACACCAGUGGCGAAGGCGACUCACUGGACACAUAUUGACGCUGAGGUGCGAAAGCGUGGGGAGCAAACAGGG
rnacentral:rRNA from 1 species